rnacentral:rRNA from 1 species
UCCUACGGGACGCAGCAGUGAGGAAUAUUGGUCAAUGGGCGGGAGCCUGAACCAGCCAAGCCGCGUGAGGGAAGAAGGUACAGCGUAUCGUAAACCUCUUUUGUCAGGGAACAAGGGCGGGGACUAGUCCCCGGAUGAGGGUACCUGAAGAAAAAGCAUCGGCUAACUCCGUGCCAGCAGCCGCGGUAAUACGGAGGAUGCGAGCGUUAUCCGGAUUUACUGGGUGUAAAGGGAGCGUAGACGGCAGUGCAAGUCUGAAGUGAAAGCCCCGGGCUUAACCCGGG